CAAUGGUGUCCCACUUUACCAGUGUUAAAAUCUGGUCACCUUAAGGCUUUCUGAUGCAAACUCCAGCUUGGAUUUGCAGACAGGUAGAAGCACAUAGUGGACGCCAGAGUGGGAUUCUUCCCACUUUAUAGGCAACAAGAUGUUUGUUUUAGAGUAAAAGAAUGAGCAUGAUUUCUUUGCAGGCAGCAAAAAUCUGUUAGAGGUUGGGUUUGUUUGUUUGUUUUUUUGGCUGAGUCAAGCCCCCAUGCAGCUGCAGCCUACUUGCCCUCUCCGGUAAGGAGGGCAACCUGGUGGUGUUACCACUUAGACUAAGCCAUUUCAUUGUUGCCUUGCGAAUCACACCCCCACCCCCCAUCUCUGACCCAGUAUAUUAGUUUCUGCCUCAAUAAACUGUGAUGUAUCAUUCUGAGCUUUCUGGGUGCACUCCAGGCACCCAGGAAGGGACUGUUAACCUGUUCUUAAUUUUAUAUCUAUGCUUUUAAGAUUCUUGGAUGAGAAUUUUAUUUUAAAGAAUUAUUUUCUUCAAGGACGAUUUAUGAGGGCGGCCUUUGGAGGAUUUCCUAAGAGGCAGUGUGGCUCCUAUGAGCGUUGGAUUUAACCUGGAUUUUGACACUGCAGCUUUGGCAUGCCAGUCCUUCCGAGGGCCUCAGUUUCCCCAUCCCUUCAAUGGGAACUUUACUGUCUUCCCCUCCCUACCCCGUGGGGGAUGUUGGUGGACUCACGUGGGAAACUGGAGCUGAAGCUUUGCAAAUGUGUGAAUUUCAGUCACUGACCUGAGUUUUCGCUCAUUGCCUGGUUUCCCCCACCUUCCACCCACUGGCAAGGCCUCUCUCUCUAGUCCCUGCCUCAGCUCCAAAGCCCAAGAAUAUGGGUCCUCAGUGCCCUAGAUCCCCCCUCCCCACCCCCUAUUGUGUGUCGCAAGUUUUCUCCUUACCCUGCCCAGAGGAGGAUGCUUUUUAGGCCGGUUCACUGAGAUCCUUCCAGGGCUCAAGGUCACCUUGACAGGGGGAUUGGCUUCUCCAAGACUGAAUGAGACAGGAAGAAACAGAGAAGCACGUGAUUCAGAAACCUGCUCUAAGGCCACAAGGUGCUGGGUUUCCAGCUUCUCCUCAGGCACACCUGGGUGCGUGUGCACAAGAAAGAGAAGAAUACAGGCCAGAAUGGAGGCAAAGGGGGUGCCGCAGUGCAGGGCCAAUGUGGGGACGUGGGUGGAUAGACAGCUCUCUCUCUGUGAUCAUUCUAAGCACCAUCUCACAGAACACAUUUCCUCUUCAAGUCAGAGCAUGUUUGAAAGUCAAGGGUGUGUGGCAAGCUGGGCUCUCCAGGGACUCUGGUUGCUGUAGCAACCGCCCAGCCUGUUCUGUCUUCUGAUUUGGGAAGCCGGGAAAAACAGGAGACCACGUAUUCCCAGCUUCCCCAAAUGGGAGAAUCUCCUACGUAUUGGUCUAGGGGCUGGGAGUGUUGGGGAAAGGCUGCGUGCGUGCGUGACAGUUGGAAAACGUGGGGGGAAGUAGGUCCCCUAAACUGUCUCCGUGAUUCUCCUUCCUGGAUUCCCCGCUCUGCUACAGAGAAGCUGCUUCGCCUGACCCCUGAUUCUGCAAACACUUGCCUGCUAAGCCAGGGCCCAGGGAAACCAGUUAGUCAAAAGGACCAGGAGCCCCGCUGGAGAGGAGGCAUUGUUUCUUGAGAUGCAGCCAGGCCAGGCCUGUCAGGCAGGCAGCGGUCACAUUUUUAGGUUUUGCAAGGAACGUCCUGCCCAGCUUCAAGAAAGACCGAGAUGAAUGAACUUCCUGGGCAAGACCCUCUCCGACCCUGAGCCUCUUUGGGUAGAGUCUGUCCCCCGAGCACUAAGAGAAGAGACACACGUGUGACCUCGAUGGCCGGAGAGAGGGGGCUCCAGCGGACACUUUGCACCGGACUCCAGCCAGCUCCGGCUCCCAAAGGACGUGCCAGCACUGUCAGCCUCCUUCCACCCGAGGCAUGGGAUUCCUCCUGCAGGAGCACCUCCCCGAGAGGGAGGAGGGACAUCUGGCUGUCUCUCCAUCAGAGAGAGAACAACUCCAUAGGGGGUUCCCGGCUGUCACCGUGACAGAAGCAGAUCACCCAACCUUCCUCCCACAGCACUGCUGGGUGGGUUUGCACUACGGACCGUAGGUGCUAAGCAUAUCAAUAAAACACCUUCCCAGCAACAUCUGGACUAGUGCUUCACCAAACGACUGGAUGCCAUAGCCUAGACAAGGGAAAAUACUGGCCUGGUGAAGCCCCUCAGGAGACCUACGCAGACAUCCUGAUCGUAGCUGGGCAGACAGGACCUGGAUCCUCAGUGUCUCCAGAAGAUGAGGCUCUGUCUUGGGUGAUCUCCCCGAUCACCGUUCCGUGGUCUCCCACAAGCAGCAGUUGAGCUUGAGAAAGCUGGCGCUGGGCCCGGCGGUGUUCAAGAUGGGGCCCAGGCAGUUGGCAGUGCGGGGAGGCUGACGGUCGUGGAUGGAAGCUGGUGUUGUGGACCAAAGAAACAGGAUGUGGGAACUUAGGGGCCAGGGCCUUCCAGAAAGCACGUGGCUGUGUUUCCGUCAGAACGUGGCUGUGGAAGAAUCACAAAUAAAUAUCAUG